rnacentral:misc_RNA from 1 species
GAUGAAGAACGCAGCGAAAUGCGAUAAGUAAUGCGAAUUGCAGAAUUUCCGUGAGUCAUCGAAUCUUUGAACGCACAUUGCGCCCCCUGGUAUUCCGGGGGGCAUGCCUGUUCGAGCGUCAUUUCAACCCUCAAGCUCUGCUUGGUAUUGAGUCCAUGUCAGCAAUGGCAGGCUCCAAAAUCAGUGGCGGCGCCGCUGGGUCCUGAACGUAGUAAUAUCUCUCGUUACAGGUGCUCGGCGUGCUUCUGCCAAAACCCCAAUUUUUCUAUGGUUGACCUCGGAUCAGGUAGGGAUACCCGCUGAACUUAAGCAUAUCAAUAAGCGGAGGA